rnacentral:tRNA from 1 species
GGUUGUAGCUCAGCGGUAGAGCGUUUGCCCACCAUGUGCGAGGCACUGAGUUCGAUCCUCAGCACCA